UCCUCACGAAGCCAUUAAAAUUAGGGUUUGGCAAAGAUUAAAAAUGUGUAUCUGGCCACAUGUAGAACAUUUAGUACACUACCAUUCUAUACAGCUAUGUCCAACCAAUAAGAAUAAAAAGAAAACAAAUUAAACCACCAAUUGCAUAACCAAUAUAUUUUUCAACCAACACAUACACUCAUUCAUUUCUCUAUAUAUUUGUGCCCUCUACAGUUUUCAUUCUAAUUCAUCCUUUCUUCUCUCUCUUUUCUCACUUUUUUUUCUCUCCUUUUCUUUCCUCUCAAAGUUAGAUCUCAGGAGUUUUUCUAUUUAUUCAGAUUUUACAUGAUCUAUUUCAACCAUACAUCCUUAAUAUAUAUCUUUAGUUUUCCAUAAAAAAAGUUUCUUAAAUUCUUAGAGCAACCUAGGUUUUAUCCUAUACCUUUGAUUAUUUUUUAUUUUAAAAUUUGAAGUCUCUUGAUUAAGGGGAAAAGGCUUUGAAAGUAUGGUUAACCUACUUUUGAAUAAGAUUUGUUUAGGUUAUCUUUGAUCUUUGAAGGUAAAGAAAGCAUGCUUUUGUUGUUGUUGUUUAUGAAGAAGUUGAUCCAAUUAAUUUUAUAUUUGUUCACUUUAUUGAUAAAAAAUUGAAAUUUUGUUUUGUUUUGUUGUUGAGUUGAAGUAUGAACUGAGUUCAAAUGAGUAUAGAUUCCUUUCAAAGUUCCUCGUGUGUUAAACUCAUUCUAACCACUUAUAUCUUGCCACGUCAUCUUCUCCUCGUGGCCUUGUCCACAUGUAUAUAAAAAAAUAUCUCAAUUUUAUGUGAACCCUUCUUUCUUUUCUAUUCUAUUCUUUCCUUUUCUUUCAUUUUUAUCUUUGGAGAUUGGUCUUUAUAUAUAUAGUAACCUAUGAAACUUUUUUAUAUGGUGGAGCUAGAGGUUGAAGAUUGAUUGAUGAUGAUCAUAGUCGUUGUUUGCAGAUGUGGCAUCAUCAAGAUUCACAUGUGAAUGAUGAUGGAAAACCUAUAAUCUCCAUUGAUGGUUUGAAAUGAGAAUCUUGAUGAUGCUGCAUCAGCCAUAAACGACUUUAUAAGAAGAUCCUGAACAAAAAUAUUCACAAGACUCUUAUGAUUUCUUUCAGGGAUCAUUCAUAAAAAUCAUUAUUUUGUUUGAGAUUCUACUGACACCUACACACUUUUAUUUGGGAUCUCUGUGUCUCUGCUUAGCUUCAGGUGAUGGCAUUUCCUAAUCAUUUUUUUUAAUAUGGAAACUAGAAAAAAAUUCUAAUAACUGGUAUUAGAGUAAAUGUUCUCAUUUAGAGGAAGAAAGAGAGGCAAGAGUUGCAAUCAAUAGAAGCAAUGUCAUCUUAUUUGUGUCAUUUAUUUUAAGAGAAGCAAUAGUUAAUUUGAUUUUUUUUCACCACUCUAAUAUUCUUGGCAUAAUGAAACUUUUAUUGUGAUAUGGAAUGAGAGAGUUCGUAAUUUUUUUUAUGUAAACGUUAUAUGGGAUUGAGAUUAGUGUUUUAUAAAUAUUAUAUAAUUUAGAUUUUAUUUUGACA